AUGUCAGGCCAUUACUUCAGUUUAAAAUUCAACUGGAAAAAAUCCUCAAAAAAAAGAGUUGGGAGAAUUUUGACAUGUCGACGGCUUCCUGUUCCUGUCGAGGUCACUAGAGAUGGUGCUCCUUAUGUAAAUUCAGAUAUUAAAGAAAGCUUCAACGAACGCGUCCUACUCCUAAGGUUUCCCAAGCUCAAGAAACUGUCGUAAUGAGGGCACUAAAAUGUCAUCGUUACGGUGGUUGAAACCAACUUUCGGUGCUUCGUAGCACAGGAAGCACGUAAAACAACGACAUAUUACACUGUCACAGAGUUGGGGCAAGGCUGGGAUCACAUCCGUCGACGUCAACCAGUAAGGACGUCAUACCGACGGGGUGGGAGUGAGUAAUGUCUGCUUCUGCCAGCGCUCGUUACCUCGUCCGGCGACUCUGAUUCCCGCCACGGGACGAGCUGUGGCGCGCUUGUUAAACAACCCUCACGGUUGUUGGCCUCGUUGCUCCUAUAAUAACAAUAUAUACAUGAACGAUUUGUAAUUUAUUUUGUACCUCCUAUCGCCAGAGGAAUUUAAAUUCUUUCCAGGUGUGACGAAUUAACACUUUUCUCACUCCCUUUACCUAACAGAUCCAGAUCCAACAUUCUGUGUGUAACUCAUCCUCUUAUUUAUGUACUUUUACAUGACCAAACAUUUUAUUUUAUUUUAAUUCAAAGAAAUGAGGAUGCAGGUGCGAGCGAGUACGAUAAAGCACUUCACCCUAACUAUAAUCUGACAAGUGUCCGUCCAGCUCCUGCUCAGAGAGGUCGCUUCAUCUAGAGUGUUGUUCUUAGGUUUAACUAAAAUGUGUGUAAUUCUCGGACCUUCACAAAACACAUUGGGGAUCAUUUUAAGUGCUGCAUAUCGAAUAAAUAUUCCUACAUGACAUGGAGGAGAGGAGUGAGAGAGGAUCUUGCGGGAGAAAGUUGCGCGGUAGAUGGGAUGAAACAAAGUUGAGAGAGAAAAGGGGGAGAUUGGGAGAGGCCUGGACGCAGCCGGGGAUAGUCUUUCUCUCUUCUUCCCCCCCCCCAUUCAACCCGUCUUGUCCCUUCUCCCCUGCCCCAUUUUCCUCUUUGUCAAAAGUUGGAAGCCAGACGCUUGGAGCCAGCCUCACCCAAAUAUGCAAGGGGAAUGGUCUGGGGUGGACAUAACCUGGUCAAGGUUGGCCAAAGUUAAAUGCUUUACAUAUUAUUAGUAGCAGUUUAGCUUAGUAAAAGUAUUAUAAACACCCCUAGGUCUCUUCUCUUUGUAUCUGUUUCUCAUUCCUCUGUUCUCUCUGCCUCCAGUCAAUAUCUGAAUUCACUAUUAUUAAAACUACUGAGAAAAUCAGUAAGAGCCAUGAGGAGAAGUUCGGGCCUAUGGUUCCUACUGAUUUUCUCAUUGAUAUAUCAUGUUAAUGGGAGUUCUGUCAAACUUCACGAAGGAAGAGCACUGGGACGACCCUGACCCCCAUCACACACACACAUAUAUACAGUAUACACAGGUCAUUAAACACAGAAUGGCGAGUAUUUGUUUGUUUUUGCAUGCAAAUUGUGCAAGUUGUAAAGAUCAAUUGGUUUAUUUCUCUUUACUAAUAAGAUGUUAUAAUUCUCUUUACUGUAAUA